rnacentral:tRNA from 1 species
UGACGGCGGCGUUACUGGGCCAAUAAUUGAGCUGCUGCAGCUGGCGCUGCAGAUCGAUAAUCUCGGUCUGGCUCAGGUUCGGUGUCGGAGCCGUUGCC